ensembl:snRNA U6 U6 spliceosomal RNA
GUGCUACCUUUGGCAGCAUGGAUACUAAAACUGGAAUGAUACAGAGAAGAUUAGCAUGGCCCCUGCGCAAGGCUGACAGGCAAAUCUGUGAUGUGUUCCAUAUUUGU